rnacentral:misc_RNA from 1 species
AAAGUCGUAACAAGGUUUCCGUAGGUGAACCUGCGGAAGGAUCAUUAUCGAGUUAGGGUCCUCUGGGCCCGAUCUCCAACCCUUGUCAAUAUUACCACGUUGCUUUGGCGGGCCCGUCUUUAACCCGACCGCCGGGGACCUUUGUCCCUGGCCCGCGCCUGCCAGUAGCCCCCCAUAAAAAUUCUUUCAACAGUGAUGUCUAAGUAUAAACAGGAAUAUAACCAAAACUUUCAACAACGGAUCUCUUGGUUCUG